GAUGAACGCUGGCGGCGUGCCUAAUACAUGCAAGUCGAGCGAACAGAUGAUGUUCUUGCUCCUCUCACGUUAGCGGCUGACGGGUGAGUAACACGUCUAUAACCUACCUAUCAGACUGGUAUAACUUCGGGAAACCGUAGCUAAUACCGGAUAAUAUAUUGAACCGCAUUGUUCAAUAGUGUAAUACGUUUUUUCUGUCCCUUAUAGAUGUAUCCGCGCCGCAUUAGCUAGUUGGUAAGGUAACGGCUUACCAAGGCAACGAUGCGUAGCCGACAUGAGAGGGUGAGCGGAGAAACGGGAACUGAGACACGGACAAGAAAACUACGGGAGGCAGCAGUAGGGAAUAUUACGCAAUGGGCGAAAGCCUGAAGGAGCAAAGGCGCGUGAGUGAUGAAGGUCUUAGGAUAGUAAAACUCUGUUAUUAGGGAAGAAAAAAUGUGUAAGUAAAAAUGCACGAAAUGACGGUAACUAAUAAGAAAGCAACGGCUAACUACGUG
rnacentral:rRNA from 1 species